UGUCAUACCCGGGCGGGCAAUGCUUUGGAUUUGGUCUCAAAUGAGCGUUGUAACGGGCCAAUAGAAGAAAGUCACAUUCAAUUAGUUAACACGCAGAGGACAGAAACCGUGACAGUUAACAUCUCUCCGGAAAAAAAAAUUUCUGCUGAGGAAGAGUUUUGUAGAAAACUGCUGCAGCUUGCACAGCACACAACACUUAACGGCAGCAAUACGUUUGAAGUAGAGAUUGAAUAAAGAUGAUGCGAAUGGAGUAUCAAUGCGAAGAACAAUAAACGAAUGUUAACAGAUGGAUAUAAACUGGAUAUAAACAUUAUACAUAGACUAUGUUUCAAAUAUAUCGUAUUCAUAUCGAACGAAAAAACCGGAAGUGUAAAUUAUGCACAAUGAACGCAAUAGAAAAUGAAUAGCAUUUCCUACUAGUAUGUCCAAUAUAUGCACACCUACGAUUUUUUUUAAACCGCACUAUUGCAGAUGGCCAACAAUAAAUAAAUUUGCAAGAUUAAUGUCCAGCAAAAGUAAAACUGAAAUAAUAAGUACUGCGAAAUUUAUUUACAAAACAAAUAACAGCAAAUGACAGCAUCUCGAUUCGUAAUUCUAUAUUUAAUCAGUAAUCAAUAAGUUAUUUUGAUGUUAAUGGUACAAUUGAUACAUACGCAGGCUAAGAAUGUGUACCUUGUGUGCUUUUGCAAUCACUUGAAUGUAUAAAAUUAAUGCUCAUUUUCAAAUGUGAGGGCUAUGAACUUGUAACGGCUUUAUUGAUAAAUAAGUGUUAUUGUUGUUGUAUUCUUGCAUAUAUGAAAUUAAUGCUCAUUUUCAUAUGUGAGGGCUAUGAACUCGUAUUAGCUUUAUUGAUGAAUUAAUGUUGUUGUUGUUGUUGUUGUUGUAUAUAUCUCAUAACAUACACAAACAGAAUUGUAUUAUAAUAAGA